UACGUAGGGCGCAAGCGUUGUCCGGAAUUAUUGGGCGUAAAGAGCUCGUAGGUGGCGUGUCGCGUCUGCCGUGAAAGCCCAUGGCUUAACUGUGGGUCUGCGGUGGAUACGGGCAGGCUGGAGGCUGGUAGGGGCAAGCGGAAUUCCUGGUGUAGCGGUGAAAUGCGCAGAUAUCAGGAGGAACACCGGUGGCGAAGGCGGCUUGCUGGGACGUUACUGACGCUGAGACGCGAAAGCGUGGGGAGCAAACAGG
rnacentral:rRNA from 1 species